rnacentral:rRNA from 1 species
CCUACGGGAGGCAGCAGUAGGGAAUUUUCGGCAAUGGGGGGAACCCUGACCGAGCAACGCCGCGUGAACGAAGAAGUUAUUCGUAAUGUAAAGUUCUUUUUACAGGGAAGAAAGAGAAAUUUGACGGUACCUGAAGAAUAAGCCCCGGCUAACUACGUGCCAGCAGCCGCGGUAAUACGUAGGGAGCGAGCGUUAUCCGGAAUUAUUGGGCGAAAAGGGUGCGUAGAUGGCAUAGUAAGUCUUUUGUAAAAAUGCUGGGCUCAACCCAGUAGGGCAAAAGAUACUGCAAGGCUAGAGUAUGACAGAGGCAAGUGGAACUACAUGUGUAGCGGUAAAAUGCGUAAAGAUAUGUAAGAACACCAGUGGCGAAGGCGGCUUGCUGGGUCGAUACUGACAUUGAGGCACGAAAGCGUGGGGAGCAAACAGGAUUAGAUACCCUGGUAGUC